rnacentral:lncRNA from 1 species
ACUGACUACCUUCCCUUGAGAUAAACUACACACCAGCUCUAGCAGAUGGGAGUGAAGCAGCAUAGAGCAUCCUUGGGACCUUCCCAUGCUGCAUCCCCAGUUGCACUACUCCAGAGGCAUGAAAAAACAAGGGAGAUCAGGAUAAAGGGUAUAAAGGAAAACCCCAAUAUUUAUCUUCCACCUCCCCGUGAUCUGCAUUGGACCACGUGAGGAUGCUGAGAGACAUCACUGCUGCCUGUGGGCACAAGCAGGGCUGAGGAUGCAGCUGUAUCAUAGCACACAUCACCAACAUUGGGUACACCAACAGGACCUGAGGUCAGGUGUAAAACCAACACUGCAGUCCGACAUGGGAUAACCCACCUUUCAUCCAGCCCUCUAAGAAAGGAAGACUGGCUUACACCCAGCAACCCGAGAUUAAAUGUCAUUUAAUAGUUUGCCUUGUUUUCCUUACUGACAGAUAUCUGUAUUGGUGCCAGGGCAUUUUCCAUUUCUAUUUCAGGGUCACCACGUAACAACCCACUGUUUGAUUUUUUUGGGAAACCUGGCAGUUUCGGUGUGAAGGACAGAAGAAAUGUUUGCUUGCCGGAGUCUGGUGGGUGACAGUGUGGGCUUUAAGCAGGAUAAAAAUA